CCCCUUUUUGGCGGCGGCGAGCGGUGAGCGCGCGACGGGAAGAGCGGGGUUACGCAAAGCGCGCAGCGGUGCGCUGAGGGAAGGGGCCGGGCCUUACGGAAAAGGCGCAGGGCGCUGCUCGCCGCUGGGGCGGGCGGCGGGGAGUGCCCCGGCGCCGUCGGCUUCCCUCUUGCUCCCUCAGACCACACCGUAGGCCGGUGAAAGCUCUCUGGUUCCGAAACCCAAGCCCUAGCGCUAGUCUUGCCGGGAAGGUGGUCCCGCGGAGCCCGACAUGUCCUGCUUCCCUGCGCGGUUGGGUCUGUGAGGGAUUUCUUGUCAGGGCUCGGGCCAAGGCGAGGGCUCAGCACUGCACGGGCCCCGGCGGGGUCCCUGACGCGCUGUGGAGGUGGUACCGAAGGAGCCGUCACCACAUCCCAAAUGCCCCUUUGGGAGGCCUGGCCUGUGAGGGACUGGGCUCCUUAGCUCCAGGCAGUGCCAGAAGUCCGGCCCCAGGGAAGUGGACCUGGCAGCUCAGGAGUCUCAGCUGUGCGCCGGGCUGUCCAGGCAGGACACCGAGAAAUUCCCAGUUCCUCAUUAACUAUUUCUUAUGACAGAGGAUCAGCUUCUAAAACCAAGGCAUCAGCAAAGGGACAGCAAUGCUAUCAGAGGUUUUAAUAGGAGGACCUUUAAGAAGAGGAGAAGGUUGUGCUGGAAACGUCAAGAGCCUCCAAACUGUCUGGCCAUAAACCAAGUGACUUGAAUGUGCCGGUUUUCUCUGCUUCAGUGUUCAUGAGCCAGGUUUGGGGUGGAUUCAUACAGGUGAUCUAUGCAAAAACUAACCUAGAAAAAAGAAAAAAAAGGAAAGGAAAAAGAAGAAAGUAAGUGGUGUCCAGCCAUUUGGGUUCCAUCAACCAGCCUACAGACCCCCUGUGCAAAACAAGAAGAUGUAUUCUGGGAGAACAGCAGUCCCAGCUUCGAUUGUUUUAUGCUGCUGAGCAAAGGUACUGCAUAUUCUUCUAUUUGGCAUAAAAUUCCAAGGUUCAGGAUGAUAGAAACAUUACAUAUGUAUACCAAUGAUCAGCAGAUAAUUUCUAUAAGUUACUACAGAAGAUCUCUCUGAGUCCUGGUUUUCUACCUACAAGAGACAUGGUGUGAAUGCAUAUUUACAAAAUGCAAAUCCAGCUGUUCUAAAGAGAUUUUUAAAAUAACAGAUCCACCAAGUAAUCUGACUUCUGUAUGUGAUUAGCUUUUCUGGUCGUUACCAAAGUUCUGUGUGAACAUGUGUUUUAACCUGGAUUUUCUUGGAAGCAAAGUUGUGUCAAAUUAUCCCUUUCAGUUGAAAUACUCAAGGAGAUCCAGAGAAAGGAAAGGAUCCAUGGUCCAUGUGGAGCCUUCCUUUUGUGAUUGUCUCCUGUUAACCAGCAUGGGAGCAGAACCAUCUCAUCCAAAGUUACUUCUCUAAGGUGGCAUGAUUUGUGAUAUCCUAGGAUUCCCCACUCUGGUUUUUGGCAUGACUCUUUCAGUUCAGUCCUCUGGCUACAAUUUGAUUGGAAGAGUGCAAAUAAGCCCUCUUAAAAAAAGGCAGGAGAGCAGCGGGUCACGUUAUUUCACCUUGGCAACCUUCAUGUGACUGGGGGCAGGAGUGGUCAUGUGAGUUGCUGACACAGGACAUUUUCUACAUAUUUGUUCCUCCAAACUAUGCCAGCUCUUCAACCUGAUUUUUCUAAUUCUGAGACUGUGUAAAUGACCAAGGUCUGUCUCUCCACCUGCCCCUCACAGUUCAGUAUUGCAGACCUUGAUCUAAUUUUAAGCAAACUGAAAUAAAAUGUAGUCAUUGAUCAUAGGAAGCUCCAACCAGUCAGAAACCGGCAGAGAUUCAGUCUGUAGCUGAGUGAGUGGCAGACACAGGCUGGGCACUUUGUUGUUACCUUCAUCCCAGGAGCAUAGGACUUGAGAGCAGUGAGGUCUGAAGUAACCCAUGCUUGAAAGAAGGCGGAAAUGUUAAGGAGAGGUCAUCAACCAAUGAAGGAUUAAUGGGGUGCUUGGUUUUAUUUGGGGAAUUAAAAUGGAUUGUAAGCCUUUCUGUAAAAGGCAGGUAAUAUGAGUACCAUCAAAGUGUGUGUGUCGCUGCCAAGUGAUUCUGCAGCUGAAGGGAAAUUUGGGAACUUUGGCACUUUGAUGGUGAGGAUCCAGUAACUGCAGUGCAACAGGGCAGGAGGGUGUUUUGUUUGCAAUUGCUUUGUCUUUGCUGGUUUCACUAUAGCACCUGAAAUACAGCGGGAAGCAGAUAGAAAUGUUUGGAGUUUUGUCAAAGAGGUGGAGCUCUGGAAAUAAGCCAGAGCUUGGUGUUAGCCACUCAGAGGGGAAAGCUGAGGAGGUGGGUCCUCUCUUAUGACAGGAAGGUGAAUUACUGCCAUGGAAUUCUGCUAAAAUGUAAAUAAUUCAUUGCUUCAAAGCCAUGGUUCUGUCAUACAUAAGAGACUGCAAAAUCUGUUUGAGAAUUUGCAUCCCUGAGUAGGGGAUUUUAAAGUUAGUUGUCUGAAAGUCUUGAUACUCUUUAACAGAAAGAUGUGUGAGUUUUUCCACAGGAAAACUUUUCUUACCCUUCUGAAUUUCUGAAAUUCUUCUACUUCAUGUUAUGCAUAACAUUUCAUAGCAACAGCUCCUUCCUAUGAUAAGUUGAAAAAGUGCGUGGACAGUUUAAUGUGGAAUUUUCAAAACAAAGCAGAAUUUGUCAUCACUGAGUUAGAGCCAGACUUCCAUUGUGAAUAUUUGUCUCCAUCAAUAGGGGAUCUUAAAGUGUGUUCAAAAUACAACUGUAAAAUGUCAUGGAAGGGAAAUCCACUGUGCAGGCUAUUAAGUACAAAACCACCAUGUCCAGCUCAUGUCUGAAGUCCUUGAUCUGCAAGUUGUUGGAAAAUGGGAAUGUAUUCUGUGUAAGUCAAUGCUUGCUCCAUUCUCACAUUCUUUCCCAGGUGUCAACUUUCACAGUUGCCGAGACAAAAUACUGGGCUUGAGGGACCUUUGGUAUAACAUAAAAUGAACUCUUCUUUGGUCUAACUCCUUCCUAAUUUUCAUGCAUAUAAUAACACCCUGAAGUUGAAGUUGUGGAGUUGUUACUGGAGGAGAGGAGUUGGGGACCAAAAUCCACCACACCUUCCCUGGUGAAUUUGGGCUGGGGCAAUCUUUUUCACUACUAGUGUCCCAAUUCCUGAUCAAGACAGUAAUUAGAGUGUCCAGUUAAACAAAAAAAGCCAUUUUCCGAUGGCACAAGAUUUGUGUUGACAAGGAAUUACAGCCUGAUAUCCACUCCUGUUGCCUACUGGUGCCCGCUUCUCUUCUCUGGAUAAUGCUGUUAUGAAUUAUCAGUAACACAUUUUUACUCUCUUCCCAGGAGUCUUUACAAUUGUUUUGUAAGAACACAUGCAAGAAAGUGUAAGCAAAAUCUCUCCGUUAAGCAAGGAUGUUGAUUGCUGUACACGCUGCAAGUCCUGCUGUCCUGUCAGUAGCAAGUGGAGUGAGUGAUGUAUGAGGUCCUGCAUGCUGGUCUUCACUACCUUUGAAAAAUACAUCUUCGUAUAGCCCUCUAGGAAAGAAUGCAUUUACUUUUAGUGGUAGCCUAUUGGUUUGUAAUGAGAAGCAGCUCAAUUACAGGAGAAUGGCUUUAGUAUAAGACCCUUAGGGAAAGUGUGAUGCACAGAGGUAGUGUACUAAGGCAGGAGGUUUGUGUGUCCACCAGGAGGCAUAGCAAGCUAGGGCUCCGUCUUGCAUACAGCCCUGAACAUACUGCAUGUACCAGCAGUGAAGGGAACCUAAAGCUUUCAUCAGAUUUUUUACAUCCAGAAGUAGGAAAUUAAGAGAUUUCUAGAAUAAAAAUUAAAAUGUGGAGAACUGGCAAGAAGGUGAAGAAAUAAAAGGCAUAUAUGUCAAAAUGUUCUCUGGUCAAAGGCUGUAAUUUCAAAUAAAUUUUGUUGCUGUCGUUCACAGUCAUUGGAAGUCAUAAUUGAUAUGACUGAAAAUAAAAAUGCUAAUCAGUGUAUAAAGCAAUGCUGGGGCUCAGCUUCUUAAGGUAUACAUCAGCAGUUGUGUAA